UACGUAGGAUCCUAGCGUUGUCCGGAUUUACUGGGUGUAAAGGGUGCGCAGGCGGACUUAUAAGUCAGUGGUGAAAUCUCGGCGCUUAACGCCGAAACUGCCUUUGAUACUAUAAGUCUUGAGUUUGGUAGAGAUCCGUGGAAUUCCGAGUGUAGCAGUGAAAUGUGUAGAUAUUCGGAAGAACACCAGCGGCGAAGGCAGCGGAUUGGGCCAAUACUUACGCUCAGGCACGAAAGCAUGGGGAUCAAACAGG
rnacentral:rRNA from 1 species